AGCGCGGGCGGAGGCAGGAGGAGCGGCGCGAGCAACCACAGGCGAGCGGCGCGGGCGGACGCGCGUCCGCGGGAGGUGCAGUGCGAGCGGCCGCAGGUGAGCAGCGCGGGCAGAGGCAGGAGGAGCGGCAUGCGCAGCCACGAGCAGAGGCAGGAGGAGUGGCGCGAGCGGCCGCAAGCGAGCGGCGCGGGCGGAUGCAGGAAGAGCAGCGUGCGGCCGCGAGUGGAGCGGCGCGAGCGGAGGCAGGAGCAGCAGCGCGCGGCCGCGGCAGGAGCGGCACGGAUUAGGCCAGCCUCGACGAGAACGUGGUGAACUAGUUCAGGUUGGAUCAGUCCAAGUACCAGUGGGCGCUCAUCAACUACUACGAGGCUACAAGCAAGGGAGCGUGCUGAGGUGGAGCAAGCUCGAAAAAGUAAGGCCGCGCAUGCAGCUCGAACCAGGAAGGUGGAGCAAGCAUCGUGAGGCAGGCUGCUGCAGCCACGUGGCUCGAGCUCGGCGGCGAUCUGGCUCGGCGACGGCCUGGACGAGCAACAGCCUAGCGCAGCGGCGGCCUGGACGAGCUUCGAUGGGAGCGGCAGCGGCCUGGACGAGCUGCGACGGGGCUGGCCUGGACAGAUGGCGCAACCACUUUUUUGUUAGCGCUUAUAUUAUUAGCGCUUAUAUCUCCAAAUAAAUUUAUUAUAAAAAUAUAUUCUAUAACAAAUCCAAUGGUACUUAUUUUGUAUCACAAAUAUUAUUACUUUUUUUAUAUAACUUUAGUCAAAAUUCGAAUUCUUUGACUCCUCGUAAA